rnacentral:rRNA from 1 species
AGUGAACGCUGGCGGUAGGCCUAACACAUGCAAGUCGAACGGCAGCACAGUAAGCGCUUGCUCUUACGGGUGGCGAGUGGCGGACGGGUGAGGCAUACAUCGGAAUCUACUUUUUCGUGGGGGAUAACGUAGGGAAACUUACGCUAAUACCGCAUACGACCUACGGGUGAAAGCAGGGGAUCUUCGGACCUUGCGCGAUUGAAUGAGCCGAUGUCGGAUUAGCUAGUUGGCGGGGUAAAGGCCCACCAAGGCGACGAUCCGUAGCUGGUCUGAGAGGAUGAUCAGCCACACUGGAACUGAGACACGGUCCAGACUCCUACGGGAGGCAGCAGUGGGGAAUAUUGGACAAUGGGCGAAAGCCUGAUCCAGCCAUACCGCGUGGGUGAAGAAGGCCUUCGGGUUGUAAAGCCCUUUUGUUGGGAAAGAAAAGCAGCAGGUUAAUACCCCGCUGUUCUGACGGUACCCAAAGAAUAAGCACCGGCUAACUUCGUG